GUGUAAUUUCAGAUUACUUCACUUUUGGUCCCUCAUUUUAUGUGCCAUGUAUGCAGAUUCUGCUGACGUGGUGAAAUGAAAGACUAAAAGUGGAAGAAUUUGAAAUUACAA
rnacentral:pre_miRNA from 1 species